rnacentral:rRNA from 1 species
AGAACGAACGCUGGCGGCAUGCCUAACACAUGCAAGUCGAACGAGACCUUCGGGUCUAGUGGCGCACGGGUGCGUAACGCGUGGGAAUCUGCCCUUAGGUACGGAAUAACAGUGAGAAAUUACUGCUAAUACCGUAUGAUGUCUUCGGACCAAAGAUUUAUCGCCUAGGGAUGAGCCCGCGUUGGAUUAGCUAGUUGGUGGGGUAAAGGCCUACCAAGGCGACGAUCCAUAGCUGGUCUGAGAGGAUGAUCAGCCACACUGGGACUGAGACACGGCCCAGACUCCUACGGGAGGCAGCAGUGGGGAAUAUUGGACAAUGGGCGAAAGCCUGAUCCGGCAAUGCCGCGUGAGUGAAGAAGGCCUUCGGGUUGUAAAGCUCUUUUACCCGGGAAGAUAAUGACUGUACCGGGAGAAUAAGCCCCGGCUAACUCCGUGCCAGCAGCCGC